rnacentral:rRNA from 1 species
CGGUGAUAUAAAUUUAACAGCUGCGGUAUUUUAACUGUACUAAGGUAGCAUAAUAAUUUGCCUUAUAAAUUGAGGCUAGAAUGAAUGGUUUGACGAAGGUUUAUCUGUCUCUAUUUUAUUUAUUAGAAGUUAAUUUUUUAGUGAGAAAGCUAAAAUAUUUUUAAGGGACGAGAAGACCCUAUUGAGCUUGAAUUUAAUUAUAUUAUUUUAAUAAUAUUUUGAUAAAUUUUAAUUGGGGUGAUUAAGGAAUAAAAAUUUAUAUAUUAUGUAGAUAACUUCCUUAAUUAAAUAAUACUGUUAGGUUAAGUAACCAAUAAUAUUGCUUAUAAUAAAGUUACCAUAGGGAUAACAGCGUAAUUUAUUUAGAGAGUUCUUAUUGAAAAAUGAGAUUGCGACCUCGAUGUUGGAUUAAAGUAACCUUAAGGUGCAGAAGCUUUAUAUGGUAAAUCUGUUCGAUUUUUAAAACUUUACGUGAUCUGAGUCCAGACCGGA